rnacentral:lncRNA from 1 species
AAAGAAGUUCAUAUGUAUCAAACGUGAAUAGUGUAUUUCGAGUUCGGCGUCAUUUCAAGGUGCAUUAUUCAAAAUGUAGAGAAUUAAUGGAAUUGUGCCGACUCAGUGUUGUGAGGAAACAGUGGAAAUGGAUUUAUGGAUAUGGCAGAAAAACUGGCCUACCAUGCAUCCAGUGCGGUAUUGUUAAUGUCUGGUCGUUAUUAUCGGUAAAGGUAGGAGUAUAUUUAUAUCUGGUGGAGAUUUGAGAUUCACAAAAAUUUAAAUAGUAUAAAAUGAAA